rnacentral:rRNA from 1 species
CCUACGGGAGGCAGCAGUAGGGAAUAUUGCUCAAUGGGGGAAACCCUGAAGCAGCAACGCCGCGUGGAGGAUGAAGGUUUUCGGAUUGUAAACUCCUUUUGUUAGAGAAGAUAAUGACGGUAUCUAACGAAUAAGCACCGGCUAACUCCGUGCCAGCAGCCGCGGUAAUACGGAGGGUGCAAGCGUUACUCGGAAUCACUGGGCGUAAAGAGCGCGUAGGCGGGAUAGCAAGUCAGAUGUGAAAUCCUAUGGCUUAACCAUAGAACUGCAUUUGAAACUGUUAUUCUAGAGUAUGGGAGAGGUAGGUGGAAUGCGUGGUGUAGGGGUAAAAUCCGUAGAGAUCAAGCAGAAUACGCAUUGCGAAGGCGACCUGCUAGAACAUAACUGACGCUGAUGCGCGAAAGCGUGGGGAGCGAACAGGAUUAGAUACCCCGGUAGUC